CUCGCGAGAGGGAUCUGAAGGAAGCCGGAUGUGGGAACAGACUAACCACGGGCAAAUCUCCGGUCUGACGAACAGAAAUCACAUAUAAGGUAUUUCGUGAGGGUAAGACUGCAGAGCAAGCCGAAGCCCAAUAACUGCACGGAAUCACGGGGGAUAAAUGUGGCAGAUGGAUAGAGAGAAAGAAAC
rnacentral:ncRNA from 1 species